GAUGAACGCUGGCGGCAUGCCUAAUACAUGCAAGUCGAGCGAACGGACGAGAAGCUUGCUUCUCUGAUGUUAGCGGCGGACGGGUGAGUAACACGUGGAUAACCUACCUAUAAGACUGGGAUAACUUCGGGAAACCGGAGCUAAUACCGGAUAAUAUUUUGAACCGCAUGGUUCAAAAGUGAAAGACGGUCUUGCUGUCACUUAUAGAUGGAUCCGCGCUGCAUUAGCUAGUUGGUAAGGUAACGGCUUACCAAGGCAACGAUGCAUAGCCGACCUGAGAGGGUGAUCGGCCACACUGGAACUGAGACACGGUACCGACUCCUACGGGAGGCAGCAGUAGGGAAUCUUCCGCAAUGGGCGAAAGCCUGACGGAGCAACGCCGCGUGAGUGAUGAAGGUCUUCGGAUCGUAAAACUCUGUUAUUAGGGAAGAACAUAUGUGUAAGUAACUGUGCACAUCUUGACGGUACCUAAUCAGAAAGCCACGGCUAACUACGUG
rnacentral:rRNA from 1 species